rnacentral:rRNA from 1 species
AUUGAUCGCUGGCGGCAUGCCUUACACAUGCAAGUCGAACGGCAGCACGGAGCUUGCUCUGGUGGCGAGUGGCGAACGGGUGAGUAAUAUAUCGGAACGUACCCUGGAGUGGGGGAUAACGUAGCGAAAGUUACGCUAAUACCGCAUACGAUCUACGGAUGAAAGUGGGGGAUCGCAAGACCUCAUGCUCGUGGAGCGGCCGAUAUCUGAUUAGCUAGUUGGUAGGGUAAAAGCCUACCAAGGCAUCGAUCAGUAGCUGGUCUGAGAGGACGACCAGCCACACUGGAACUGAGACACGGUCCAGACUCCUACGGGAGGCAGCAGUGGGGAAUUUUGGACAAUGGGCGAAAGCCUGAUCCAGCAAUGCCGCGUGAGUGAAGAAGGCCUUCGGGUUGUAAAGCUCUUUUGUCAGGGAAGAAACGGUGAGGGCUAAUAUCCCUUGCUAAUGACGGUACCUGAAGAAUAAGCACCGGCUAACUACGUGCCAGCAGCCGCGGUAAUACGUAGGGUGCAAGCGUUAAUCGGAAUUACUGGGCGUAAAGCGUGCGCAGGCGGUUUUGUAAGUCUGAUGUGAAAUCCCCGGGCUCAACCUGGGGAUUGCAUUGGAGACUGCAAGGCUAAAAUCUGGCAGAGGGGGGUAGAAUUCCACGUGUUACCGUGAAAUGCGUAGAUAUGUGGAGGAACACCGAUGGCGAAGGCAGCCCCCUGGGUCAAGAUUGACGCUCAUGCACGAAAGCGUGGGGAGCAAACAGGAUUAGAUACCCUGGUAGUCCACGCCCUAAACGAUGUCUACUAGUUGUCGGGUCUUAAUUGACUUGGUAACGCAGCUAACGCGUGAAGUAGACCGCCUGGGGAGUACGGUCGCAAGAUUAAAACUCAAAGGAAUUGACGGGGACCCGCACAAGCGGUGGAUGAUGUGGAUUAAUUCGAUGCAACGCGAAAAACCUUACCUACCCUUGACAUGGCUGGAAUCCCCGAGAGAUUGGGGAGUGCUCGAAAGAGAACCAGUACACAGGUGCUGCAUGGCUGUCGUCAGCUCGUGUCGUGAGAUGUUGGGUUAAGUCCCGCAACGAGCGCAACCCUUGUCAUUAGUUGCUACGAAAGGGCACUCUAAUGAGACUGCCGGUGACAAACCGGAGGAAGGUGGGGAUGACGUCAAGUCCUCAUGGCCCUUAUGGGUAGGGCUUCACACGUCAUACAAUGGUACAUACAGAGCGCCGCCAACCCGCGAGGGGGAGCUAAUCGCAGAAAGUGUAUCGUAGUCCGGAUUGUAGUCUGCAACUCGACUGCAUGAAGUUGGAAUCGCUAGUAAUCGCGGAUCAGCAUGUCGCGGUGAAUACGUUCCCGGGUCU